AUUACAUGAUUUGAGUUCAGACCGGNGUAAGCCAGGUCGGUUUCUAUCUUUUUAUAUUAUUAAACAGUACGAAAGGACCCUUAAUUAUAAUUUUAUUAUAAAAUUGGCAGAUAAUGCAUUAGAAUUAGAAUCUAAAUAAUCUAUUAUUAAUAUGAUAUUAAUAAUAUUUAUUACAAAUUUUCUUUUA
rnacentral:rRNA from 1 species